CCCAACGUGCAACAUUGCCUUACGCAAUCUAAUAAAUUACUCCAUAGCCGGCUGCCAGCUCAGACUAAGCCCAAUAUUGCCUGCAGUAAUUAUUUGGAUCAAAUGCAGUUUAUCUGCUUCAUAUUUGUGCUUCUGUGCUCAGUGGUAACUUAUAAAUGUCAUUGUGGUGUUUAUUCGUUAUAAUGAAACUUAAUGGCAUUGGAAGCUAGGAGCAGAGCUGGUGGGGCGGCAGGUUUAAAACAGUUUCUUCAUCUCUGGAGAAGGAAUGAGCCAAGAUAACAUGACAGUGCCCUAUAGAGAAGAGAUUUGCAGAAGCAUUGUGUCCUUGUACCAUGUGGUGGACGAGAGGGAGCCAGGAGCUCUGAGCUGGCACCAAAGGUCAUUUGAUUUUGCCUCUGGGGACAUCUAUCAGGAGCGGGCUCUUUGUUCGCUGGAGUGGUGGGAAGGGCCUGACGGGAAGGGCACCCCUGUGGCCCAAUGAGGGAGCUGGAGCCAGCCUCCGGCUGAGCCCCUAGGCAGGGCUGAGUCCCAGACUGGUGGACCCGGAAGAGAUCCUGGCAAGAGGAGCAGGGGUUGCUGCAGCCUAAAACAUGGAGCUGACAGCUGGGGCUUCAGCAGUUACUUGACGCCUGCGUGGUUGUAACUAGAGAGUGGAACCUUGUGUCAAUAAUGGGUUGCCCGGGUACCCCUGGACUUCUUGUCACAUGAGAGAAAAGUUAGUCCCUCUCUUGCUUAGCGACUGCCCAUUACUUUGGAUCCCUAUUGUAAAUUCUUGAAUGUCAAACUGACACAGAUUGACUACCCACACUAUCAUUUACUCUUGAGGGACUUUGGGUAAGGCUCUUAAUGUCUUGGCGCUUCAGUUUCUUUAGUAUAGCAGGAGUAAUAUUCCUGAUUUGCCCGGCGAGCCCGCUCUUCGGCUUCCCAGAAUGUUCUCAGCCCUGUCAUGGCUUUUGUGUGUGAGAAGUGGCUGCUUCUCUCUCAUUGUCUGGCCAGACCAUUGUGCUUGAACUGAGAAUGUGCCUGCCUUCCAACUUCAAUGGCUUGCUCACGGCUGUUAUGAACUCUCCUUGUGGGCUCCCAUUUUCUAGAGACACAAUAGCUUUUCCUGGCUCGCCCAGGCCUCGCCCCUCCUCACAGGGCGCAGAGCGUCUGUGGUUUCAAGCAGCUGAAAAAGAGGCUUCAAAGAACUCCAUAUUGGCCUCUGUCAGGUUCUGCCUCACAAAGACGUUUCUGGAAUCCUCAAAAGCCUUAUUAAUCUGCUAAGAUGUCCAGGGAGCUGUGCUGGGCCCCUAUUUUCAGCGUCUUCCAUUGUCUCUGCUGCAUUGUCCCUGCUGGGUGUCUUGGCCCCUCGUGGACCAGCACAGAGGCAGGCAAGCCUUGAGCUGCUCUGGCUUUUCUGUCCCCACCUCUUUUCUGCUUCCUUUCCUUCCACACUUCCCGUGGAAAGGUCCCCGUCCUUCUUGGGCUGUUUAUUCCUCUCACUCCCUUGCAUGGCCUCUCUGCCACCUCUUUCCUCUCCUGGCAUUUGCCUGGGUUCAGGUCAUGCACACAGAGGCCUGGGGAGAGAACCAGGCUUUUCUUUUGAGUGAAAGCCUCUUCGUGCGGCUGUUGUGAGCCUCUGCAGCCACCUGCCACAGCGUCAAGUUGUCAUCUACAGAAGCUGGAUUCUCACACCCACACCCAGGGACCUCCGAGGCAGAGCCUUCUCAGGGAUUGAAGGGUCCCUGAAAGGGCCCAAAGGCCAGGACUUUUGGGCUGGUUUUUAUCUUAGUCUAAAAUCUGGAUGUGACAAGUGAACCAAGGUCCUGAGGCAAGAACUUCCCCAGAAAUCUGCCUCCUGGUUCCACACCCUGGUUCCAUGCACAAACCCCUGGGUGGGUCAGCUAUCCUUGGCCAUAAGUACACAUGAGAUUAACAGCUUUCAAAGAGAAGAGGUGACCUGGGGCCAUGGUUUUAGUGGUUUCAUUCUGUGAUCAUUUGGCUUGUAGCUUUGGACCCAGGGUAGUGCUUCAUGGCACAAGGCCCUUUUCAAGGUUGAGAAGUGAACGAGAAAGAGGAGGAGGGUCCCACAGACCCCUGUCAGGGCAUGCAUCGCCCCCUGUGACCAGAAGACUGACCACUCGGCUCCACCUCUUAAAGAUUCCAUUACUUUCUCUUGGCAGCCAAGUUAUAAGGUCUUUGGGGACAUUCAAGGUCCAACUACAUGGUUUUCCUCUAACAAGACAGAGCAAAAGUGACAGAUGUCACUUCUACCCUGUCUUGGAAUUCUCCCUCUCUGGGUCUUGCUUUGGCUGCUUGCAUUGACAAGGACAGUGAGUUAGAGACAUCUGAUAUUCAGUGAGCCACGGUGACACCCAGGCCACCAGCAUCCACGGUACCAAAUCCAGACCUUAGCUACAAGAGCAGGGGUGGAGCUCACCCUGCCCCAGGUAAACCCUGGCUAGCACCACCACUGGUGCAUGAGGAGGAAGAAGCGGGACCCCAUUAAACCACACUAGAUUCUUGGCCCACGUAAGUCUGGAGAUAUUGAAUAUGUGUUGUUAUAAGCUGAUGAUUUUAACCCAGCAAUAGGUGGGUUUGGGGACUUUAUUAGCAUAGAAGACAUGUGCUUCUGUGUUUUUUCUUCCUAUCUGGACUCAGGUUUUUCUUAUUUCUCGUGACAACAGCCAGUGGCCAGGACAACUGUCAUGGUUUGGAUCUAGGAUAUGCCACCUCCCAAACCCAGGUUCCUAUGUUGAAGGCUUGGUCCCCAGAAUAGCGCUGUUCAGAGGGGACUAGACAGUGAAGGUUCUGCCUCCGUCAGUGAACCAGUCCGUGGAUGGAUCACAGCCAGAUGGACUACUGGCUGGCAGGAGGAACAGUAGGAGGUGGGGCCUACAUGGAGGCAGUCUCCCACUAGGGGCAUCAUGCCUUUGGAAGGUGCACACUGACCAGCUGUAUCCCUCUUUCUGCUUCCUGACCCCGGCAAGGCGAACAUCUAGGCUCUGCCAAAGGCUCCCAUCAUCAUGCUCGGCUCAGCACAGGAUCCUAGAUAUGGAACCAAGUGACCACAAACCGAAACCUCCAAAACUAGGAGCCACAAACAAACAAACAGCCCAAACAACAACAACAACAACAACAACAACAACAAUAAAACCCCUUGCUCCUUUAAGCUGUUUUCCUUAGGGUUUUGUCAGAGUGUGGGGGAGCUGGCUAAGGGUAGAGAGGUGCACAUGUCUGCCCCUGCACAUGCGCACUGAUGCUUAAGCUCGAGUCCUUUCACUCCUGUAGAGGCUCACAGCCAGAGAUAAAUGUUAACGGGGCUGAAGCAAGACUCCACUGAGGCAAUCAGGUUCUGUUAGGAACCCAAAUACAAGAGGGGAUUUUGCCAGGAUCCGAGGUUCCAGAAGGGGCACGGUUGGCGAGGCCUCGCUUCUGGUAGCAGUCUCAGGCUCUCCUCUAUAGCCUGGCUCAUGAGAUCUGUUUCCAUACUGGCAUGGCAACGCUUACCCGAUCUCCCUUCUACAGAUCUCCUGCCUCACAGAGCGCAGCCUCCAGGAGGAAAUCACCCAGGAGUUCUGACCCAGCUGGAGCAAAAAUCUCCAUUCUUGAUCCUGCCUCACUUCGUCAUCCCUCCCCGGUGCCCCAGUGCUCCCGGAAGCUAAAGCAGUGAGCAAGCUCUGCAAUUGAGGAAUCAAUAAAGCGGUGCAUUUACGAACAGCCUCCAUGGAAGGGAGGGAUUUGACGUCCCUUCCUGCUCUUGUUGACAGUAAUAACUGACUGCCUCGCUGGUGUGAGGCAGUAUAAUUUUAAGACCCUCAGAACAAGGACCAGCAAAGGACUGGUAUGGAGACAGAGCAACAGCCAAAGCCCUUGCUUCCAUGUGGAGCCUGGGGCCACUGAGGUCCCAGAGGCACUGGCACAUGGCUUGGGAGCACCUGCAAUUUCAUUUUGUUUCUUUCUAAGCGCUGGGGAAGAAAAGCAAUUUGUUUGCUCUCAUACUCUGAAGAUGAACUUCCCGUGCUCAAUCAAACGUUAUUAUCCCAAUACAACCCGGUGAGGAGAAAGUCACCGUGGCACAUCAAGUUGGAAAACGAGCGCGCACACUGCAAAUCUCAAGGAAAGGAACGGAUGAAACAGAAAAGCCCUCUUUCCCUGUGCUGACACCUCUGUCAAGCACAGCGUGCCUGUCCUGCCCAGCCCCGCAGGUGCUGCUGGCAGAUGCCUUCGCACACUGAGGACGUCCUGGUGAGUGGCUCUCUGGAUUCAAUUAAUGCACAGGCUGGCCAGAGUGGAAGACAGACAGGAGACAGAGGGUCUGAGGAGAGCACCUUCUCCCCGCCAUGCUGCUUCCCACCUGGUGACGGACGAUGUGGACUUAGCGCUGUGAGAUCCCUGCUGACCUGAGAGGCAGAUGCUGUUACAGUGUGUGACAAGGUCCAUACAUUCUGAUGAAGCUCUUCAGAAACUGCACUCCAUAGGAUCAGAACUGCUCUCUGGGGGAAUUUCCCCAUCCUGUUCUGAGCUCUGGUUUGGUGACCUGGUUUAAUUCCCUUCCAAGCUCCAGUGGGAAGUGAAAAUGAUGACUUCUCUCCAGGUAUAGCACUGCAGGCAGACUGAGGGUAUGUCUUCUCUACUGCUCUGUCCACACACACUAGAAGCUGUGGAAGAGUAGACCGAGAUCCCACUUUAGAGGUAAGGGUACCAAGAGCUGCCAGUUGAAUACCUUGUGAUGGGCACUUCAUGAAGAAUAUCCCAUGCAUCCUCCAUAACAAUCAAAUGCAAAAUAUAGCAUUGUCCUCCAUCUUAUAUAGCUGACCAGUGUCAGAGCCAGACACUGUGACUUCCUAACCUGCACUGUUACCAUAGCACAGAUGACCAUUCCCCGGGGACAUGUCUACCCUCCCUGCUGAUGCCUGGGAAACCUCUAGACACAAUUAAGUUGAAGCAGCUGAUGGGCUUGGGAGGUGGAGCCAACUUGGGGAGGGGCAGGACCAAUCUCCUUGGUUAUUCAGGGGAAAGACCACUCCAAUUGGAGAGACUGGGAAGGAUUGCAAAAGGAAGGAGACUUGACUUUAGUCCCCAGGGUUUAAGGUUUGCUUUUUCCUCAGGGAAAGGAUAAACGGAAUCUAGCUUCUCUGGCUAGCAGUUCAUAGGGUAUACCUGGCAAGCAGUGUACUCGGGUGGAACACUGUUCUCACUCUACAAACCCUUUUUACACUUGUCUUCCACCAGCCUGGACCAUCUGCUCUAUGUUUAUAAAUAACUGUCUCCUACUACCCAAAAUCGCAUCCUUGGCUCUAGGCUCUGGGUCUGGGCCUUCUUGGUGGCCUUGCUGGAAUUCUUUCCACUCCACUAUGCCUCACUGUGUCUCUGGUCUCCUAGAGUGAGAGCUCAACAGAGAGAGCAAGGGGAAAGGUUACCCCUAAAGGAGCACUUCAUGGAACUGGGAGUCAGAGUCACUCUGCUCAGUGAGGGAAGCAUUCAGAUUAUGGCUCUUUUCACCCUUAAACUUCCAAACCAGGACUCAUUCUGAUCUGAGCAUGAGAGCAAAGAACACCUUUUGAAGAUGAACCUUUGUUUCUCUGCCCAGUAGGUAGGACUUAACCUUGAACUUGUGCCCCAACAAGAAGCCUGCAGUGAGGCUGGGCUUGAUAACUCACCUCUAGGCAAGCACAGAAAGGCAUGUGCUGCCUUCUGCAGUGGAGGGCCUGUUCUAGAGACACUCACGGGGGAUUCUGGUGCUUUUGUCAAAGGAAGGCUCACAGAGAAAAUUGCUGCCACAAAUAUAAGUGAGUGAUAUACAGGGGGCUUAGACUUGGGGGUUAUACUGUGGCUUUAGGGGAGCCGAGGAGAGUCAUUGUUUAGAGGACUGAGCGGUUUGGGCACCUCCAGGCUCCCAGCAAAGAAGAAUGGGACUAUAAAGCUGAAUCAUUAAGAGUCAGUGGACUAGAGGAAGGGAUUGGUUGCAUAGGUAAGGCUGGAGAAAAUGAUUCCUCUAAGACACAAAUGUCUUCAAUUUAAAGUCUGUUCCCCAAAUCCACUCCCCACCCCAGAGUGACAGAUGUAGGGAUACAACCCAACUCUGUCAUUUGCUAUUUUUAGGACUUUGGGGGAAAUCACAUAAAGCUGCAUUUCUGCCUCCUUGUUUGUGAAAUGGGAGUGGUACACAUUCUUCUUAGAAGUGUGAGAUAAUGGACACUCAGGGUAGACCCAAGGCAUGACAUGCAUCAGGCACACAGUGAGCGUGGACUAUUAUUACUGCCAUUUUUAUUUUUUAGCCAAUUAUCUUUCUUUGCUAUGGAGGAAAUAUCCCUUUCAAAGAUUUUGAAGGAUGAAAUGAGGAGACAGGCUGGUAGCACCCACUGUAUAACAGAUGCCCGGGGACUGAGUCUGUCUUUUACUCCCUUCUGAGGUGUAUUCUCUCGAGGGCUCUUGAUGUUAACUCUGGUGGGAAAUGGAUAGGAUGCCGUCAGCUGUAUGAGAGCGUUGUCUUCAAGUGAGGCUGACAUUAUAGAACUCGUGUUGCCUCCUGAAUCUGGCAGCUUUCUGACUCAUGCUUUCUUCCUGUCUUACUGCCUUCCUAUACUACCACUCACUCUGCUUUCUGUACCCACUACCAGGCUAGACUCUUUCAUUAUCCACUGAGCCCUUGUUUUUCUGCUGCUCUGGUCUGCUCAUGGUCUGAGGGGCUGCAAUGAGUCCUUUGUACCUCCUCAGAGCAGUAGGAGGUACUGGAUUCGAGACUGGGUGCUCUGGCGUUGAAUUUGAACCCUGGAUCAACUGCUUAAUGUGUACUCUUAAGAGAGCUACUUAAGGGACAUUUGGCACAUCAGUCUAAUGAGGGCAACUGUCACAACAGGGCGUUACUGGGAGGUAAAAGCAGGUAGCACACACAAGUACCUAGGAAGAUAGAUGCAUGCUAAGUCCGAGGUUCCUAAUGCCCUCCUCCCUCUCUGGUCUUGAAGCCUGCAGAGAGAAGUGGCAGAGGCAGGGUAGAUCGUUGCCUCACCUCUUUUAUCAUCCUCACUCUGCGACCUCGAUCCCCUCAUUAUGCUCUGGAAAACCCAUGCUGAAGGAGGUGUCUAGCCAGGAAUAUCUUUGAAGGUGAAGAACAGACAGAGCUUCCUAUUACUGGCAUGUUAAGAUCUGCUUUCCGUGUGGCCUGAAGUCAGAGUGAGUGGGGGAAAUUCAGAAAUCAGCAGCACCAGCAUUGGUGUACCAUGCCAGAGUCUUCUCUUGUCUUCCUGCUCUAAAGGCCAUUGUCAGCAGUGUCUGGCCAUCCUCUGGCUCCUGGCUUCUUGUUCACCUAGCAUGUAUCAUACUUCUUCCUCUGCACCAGUUCCCAAUCUCUGUGCACCCUUCCUUUUCCCAGCUUUCUUCCUGUACAAGCUUCUACCCUUUGUUUGUCCAGAACUCCAACAGGAACACUUAGCUAGCUCAUCCCCUUGCAAAUUCCACCCAUGGGAAUUUCCAUUCAAAGGAAAAACAAUCAUAUCUAAAUCCUGAUAAAAAUAUAAUUAGUGUUGUCUAGGCUGAUGGAAUCAUACUUGGAGAGUAAGGGACCUAUUUCUCUCUCUUGGGCUGGAUGCCUCUGCAGAUGGGUCACUUAAAAAAUAAAGUGCAUGCCUUUAAUCUCAGCACUGGAGAGGCAGAAGCAGGCAGAUCUCUGAGUUUCAAGACAGACUGGUCUAUAUAGCAAGUUUAAGGUGAGCCAGGAAUACAUAAUUACACAAUGAGACUCUGUCUCAAACUAUAUAAAAGGGUUAAAAUGCAGAAGAGGAUUGUCUGUAGCAAAAAUUUAUUAAUACAUGACUCCAUCUAUUUAUCCAACCAUCUGUUCAUCUGUCUAUCAAUUCAUCCAAUUACAAAUCCAUCCAUCUUUCCAUCUAGUACACACUUAUGUAAUACCUGCAGUGUGCCAAACCUAGGGAUGGCCGUGGGAAGACAGACGAGUAAACAGACAGUCACUGUGCAGUGUGGGCUAUGCUAGGAGCACAGGUGCAGCACGAAGAAUGGAGUCUGCAUCAGUGGGAAGGAAAGGAUGGCUUCUUAGAGGAGAGACCCUUGAAUUAAAGACCGAGGAACGGAGCAAAUUCAACCUUGUUGUUUUCUUUCAUUGUUCCAUGGAUGGGACCAGGGCCAACAAAAUAGAGAAUCUUAAAAAAAAUUAUGUGUACAUAGUUGUGGGUAUGUGCAUGUGAGUCAGGUGCCAUGGAAGCCAGAAGAAGGCUGUGGGUCCCCUGAAGCUAUGGGUGGUUGUGAGCUACCUGACAUGGGGGUUGGGACCUGAACUUGGAUGCCCUGCAAGAGCAGUGCCCGCUCCUCACUGCCAAGCUGUUUCUCCAGCACAAACUCGGUCACCUUACAUCACCUUUGCCUUCUCAGGUUGUCAUGGAGUUGGAAUGUUUUGGGAGUGAAUAGCUCAGAAUAAGAAGACAACUUGCUUUUGUUUUGGGGUAGUUUAGUUUUGAUUUCUCAGGAUCUAAGAACACAGAACGUAAGUUCCUCUUUUUCUAGUUACCUUUCUUUUAAAAAAUUGGCACAUAUUUAAUUAUACACAGCAAUGAGUGCUGUGGGGUGUCUUUCUGUAUGCUGUGAAUAUGUGUUGCUCUGAUUGGUUGAUAAAUAAAGCUGCAUUGACCUAUGGCAGGGCAGGAUAGGGUUAGGCGGUACAUUCAAACUGAAGACGAGACUAAGAAGGGUGGAGUUGGGAGAGAUGCCAGCCUGCUGCCCAAGGAUCAACAAGAUGCCAGCAGACCAGUAACGCCAUGGCCACAUGGCAACAUAUAGAUGAAUAGAAAUGGUUUGAGUUAAGUUAUAAGAGCUAUCUAGCAAGAAACCUGACCCAUAGGCCAUACAGUUUAUAAAUAAUAUAAACUGUGUGUUUACCUGGGACCAAGUGGCUGUGGGACAGGGGUGGGAGAGAUUUCGUCUGGAUCGCAGGGCCGGGCAGGACCAGAGAAACUUCUAGCUACAAAUGGGUUUCACUAUGGCAUGUCUGUAUGCGUAUAUAAUGUAUUUUAAAUCGUAUUUCCACCCAUUACUUCUGUUCUUUCCCUCCCUCUCCAAAUGACCCCCUUCCUUCUCCCAGCCAUUCUCUUUCUUGUUUUCAUUCUUUUCUUUGCCUUCUUUUUAAAAGUUUAGUGACCCUGGCUGGAGAGAUGGCUCAGAGGUUAAGAGGACUCACUGCUCUUCCAGAGGACCCGGUUCAAUUCCCAGCAUCCACAUGGCAGCUCACACCUGUCUGUAAUUCCAAGAUCUGACACCCUCACACAGACAUACACGUAGGCAAAACACCAAUGCACAUAAAAUAAAAAUAAAUUAUCCAAAAAAUUUGGUGACCUAUUAUAUUCUACUAGUAUUUCUUAUAAAAAUGUAUUUAUUUUUAUGGUGUGUGUAUGUGUGUAUGUGUGUGUGUGUGUAUUUGUGCACAUGCCAUGGUGUGUAUGUGGAGGUUGGAGGAUGGGUUUCUGGAGUCAGUUCCCUCUUUAAUCUUUACAUGGGUUCUGUGGAUUGAACUCAGCUCUUCAGGCCUGUAGAGCUAUCUUGUCAGCCCUUAUUAGUAUUUCUUAAAGGAUUCUGGGUAAGGGACUAUUUAAAUGAGCAUGGUUUCCUUACCACCCACUUCCUCUUGACAAGAGUUUCCUGAAACACACCAGAGACUGGACUAGAAGGAUCUUGUUCAUUUCUAAAGAGCAGAAAGCUUCCAGGGUGCUCUCUUUCAUCCCCUCUUGUGUUUGGGGAAGCUCUUGUCUGCCCUCUGGCUACAGUUAGUCAUCUUCCUCCUUAGGCCACCCAGAACUCUUGCUGGCUCAUUUUCUCUCUUGUUCAUGGUGACUAGAUUAUUUAGAGUCUACACUGGGUCAGCCUGGUCUCACAGAAGCUGCAUAGGACACGGCAACUCCAUGAAUAUGAAGUCACAUCAACAAAAAAGCUGGGAUACUCAGAUGCUAGGGCUGCCAUUUUGCCUUAGAUGGACUGAGGGGAUUGCUACAUCAGUAUAUUGUUUCAAGGGCAAGUCUCCCUUCCUUAACAUUUACCUGACACAUUCUGUUCAUAUGAUGAACAGUGGUCAUUAUGGAUCAGCUUUGGUGAGAAGGACCCCAGUUUGAAGGCAUGAAAUUAAUUUAGUCUAGGAACCUGAGUGAAAAGGUUUCUGCUGUAGGUAGGACCAUUAUGUGCAGGAAUUUUAAGAGCCAAGUGGUGACUGUAGCAUCAUCCAGUAUCCUCACAUCCCCGGGGCAGAAGGCCACAGUGUUUGGAUAGUGAAUAAUUCUCAUCUCCUUUUCUAGACGAUGUAAGUUCUGUUUUAUUUGCCAGUGUAUCCCCAGGACUUGAGACUAAGCCAUUUAAUGACUUUUUGCUGCAUGAAUUAAGAUCUACAAGUAAUGUGAGAAGAAUCACCAUUUGUCUUACUGGAAUCUCAGCCCUGGGCUGUGUUGACAGAGCUGGUCUCCCCCCCCCCUUUUUUGUGGUAGCUAGCCCCAAAUAAUCUCAAAGACCAGGCAUGUGAAACACAUGAGUGCUAAUGGAUCUGGAGACUUAAGCUCUGGAGGGCCACCUGUCACAUAAGAUUUGCCUUCAAAGGCCACUUGCUCUGACCUUUCCAUAACAUUUAAAAAAAAGAAACCUCGGUAUUGACCAAAUCAGCCCUAUCUUCAGUGGAGGUCUAGACAGCUAUUUGUACUUCUAUUUGAAUUUCUUGGUUCUUUUCUUUUUGUACUUCUGGGUAAGCACAGAGGAAAGAAAGUUCUUUUGCUUGACCAAAUCUCAUUUAAAAAUUGUUUGUAUUUUUUUAAAUGGAACCCAAUCCCUUAAGCCUUUAAAAGUAACCUCUGCUGAGCUCAAUAAACCAUUUCCAAUGUGGCAGCUUCUAAUCCAGGAGAGCUCAGAAGACAGAUGCUAAAGAACCACCAAUUGCAUCCCAGGACAGUUGCCAAAGUCUCAGGGCUCCACAAGCUGGAGAUGCGAUCGCUAAUCCCGACUCCAUUUCUCUGCUAGCUGGCCCAACCGUGCAAUUAGCAUUCUCCCUGGUGUUGAUUUUCUUCAAAUAUAUUGGGCCCAUCAAUCACCCACUUUCCAACUCGUCUGUCUGGAUCAGUCAAUUACAAAGUUAUUUUUGAGCCACUAGGAUUCUUGUGAAAUAGACACAAGAAGGAGCUAAACUCAUUUCAGGUUUGACCUCUGCGGCUGGGAUCUGAGGAGCUUGGUUUGCUUACACUUCAUGGCCAUCCAAUCCGAUCUGGCCUGGAGAAUAGAAAGGCCACUUGCUUAAUUGGGAACACUUUAAUACAGAUAUCCAUUAACUUAUGCUAAAUUACAGUAAAACAUCUAUGGAGGAACUUGAUGUGACAUCUGCAUGAAUACUAAAUAACUUCAUUACGAUCAGCGCUGUGACAAUGAAUAGGAAAUGAACGUGCCCAGGGAAGGCAAUUCAUCUCCCACCUUCUCAAGUUAUUACUGUUUUUUUUUUGUUUUUUUGAGACAGGGUUUCUCUGUGUAGCUUUGCGCCUUUCCUGGAACUCACUUGGUAGCCCAGGCUGGCCUUGAACUCACAGAGAUCUGCCUGGCUCUGCCUCCCGAGUGCUGGGAUUAAAGGCGUGCGCCACCACCGCC